rnacentral:rRNA from 1 species
CAGUAGCCGCGGGAAAACGGAGGGUGCAAGCGUUAUCCGGAUUUAUUGGGUUUAAAGGGUCCGUAGGCGGAUCUGUAAGUCAGUGGUGAAAUCUCACAGCUUAACUGUGAAACUGCCAUUGAUACUGCAGGUCUUGAGUAAAUUUGAAGUGGCUGGAAUAAGUAGUGUAGCGGUGAAAUGCAUAGAUAUUACUUAGAACACCAAUUGCGAAGGCAGGUCACUAAGAUUUAACUGACGCUGAUGGACGAAAGCGUGGGGAGCGAACAGGAUUAGAUACCCGAGUAGUCCCUGUCUCUUAUAC